GGAGGUGGCUGUGGCAAGGUGCCCUCCUAACUUCAUUUUGGCACCCCAAAGAGAUGGCAGGCAGAUGGGUGAGAGGCUGAGGUGUCACACACAGUGCCGGAGUGACAAAGC